CCCUUAGAUGUUCUGGGCUGCACACGCGCUACACUGAAGGAGGCAGCGUGUACUCCUGGAUCGAAAGAUUUGGGUAACCCGCGAAUCUCCUUCGUGCUAGGGAUUGAGGUUUGCAAUUAUCCUUCAUGAACGAGGAAUUCCCAGUAAGUGCAAGUCAUAAGCUUGCGCUGACUACGUCCCUGCCCUUUGUACACACCGCCCGUCGCUACUACUGAUUGAAUGAUUUAGUGAGGACUUCGGACUGGGACCGAUGCGGCUUUCGGGCUGCGUCGGUAUUCUGGAAAGAUGUCCAAACUGUAUCAUUUAGAGGAAGUAAAAGUCGUANCA
rnacentral:rRNA from 1 species